rnacentral:lncRNA from 1 species
GUAAGAGCAGCCAGACCUGGAGGGCUUGGGUAAAAAUGGCUGAAUAUUUAGCUUCGAUAUUCGGGACUGAGAAGGACAAAUCGGGGUCUGCCGGCACGGGGACCGGUGCUCCCGGCUUCACAACAAGCCGACAUUCAGCCAGCCCUGCCCUCUGAGCUCAGGCCCCGCCCCUUUUAAAUUCUGUGCAGACCAUAGUGCUGCUCAACCUGUACCGGAAUCCACAGAACACAGCCCAAACUGCAGACGGAUCACACUGAGGUGUUCACAGAACUGCAGGAGAAGUAUGGGGAGAUUGAAGAGAUGAAUGUGUGCGACAACCUUGGGGACCACCUCGUGGGCAACGUCUAUGUCAAGGUGCUUGCUGCCCCCCACUUAGGGCCCAGAAGUGGAGGCGUUUCAAUGCCUGAUGGUGGCCACUGUAGGCUCUCAGCUUGAAUUUCAUCACUAAAUCCAGUCCAGCCCCAGAGCGGGUAGUGAGUCCCCUGAAGAUCUCUGAGUUCUCCUGCUGACCCUGACUGACAUUUCCUGCAGUUCCGGAGGGAGGAGGAUGGAGAGCGGGCCGUGGCUGAACUCAGUAACCGCUGGUUCAACGGGCAGGCUGUGCACGGGAAUGUACCCGAGGUGGCUUCUGCAACUUCAUGCAUCUGCGGCCCAUUUCCCAGAACCUCCAGAGGCAGCUCUAUGGGCGGGGACCCAGGCGCAGGUCACCCCCGAGGUUCCAUACUGGCCACCAUCCCCGAGAGAGGAACCAUCGGUGUUCCCCUGAUCACUGGCAUGGCCGCUUCUGAGGCCCUGGCCCCCUUACCCUUCACCCCCAACAGGGACAGAUGUUCCUGGCAGGACCUCUCCUCAAAGCCCCCUUCACUCUCCUGCCCCAUCCUUCCCAGGCUCCCGGGCUCCAUAAUGUAAUCUGUUCAGCAUGGAGACCUUCUUCUACCGCCCCUGUCUUAAUAAAGCUGCGUGUUUCACUUCGGC